GGCCGGCGGGAGGGGGAGGGGCGCGGGAGCCGCGGACGGCCAACAGGGCGCGCGCUGAUUGGUGGAGCCCGAGAGCCCCCGAGGGCAAGGGUGAGCCCCGCCCCCGGGCUCCGCUCGCCGCGCGGCCGCGACUCUCGGAGCAUCAGUGGGCGGGGCCCCGCGGGAGGGGCGGGGCCCCGCGGGAGGGGCGGGGCCUGGGCGGGGCCCGCGGGAGGGGCGGGGCCUGGGCGGCGCUGCCCGCUGGCGCCUCCUGUCCCCCCGCAGGGUUCCCCGCCUCUGGGGACCCGAGAGCGCGUGCCGGCCUGCAAGAAGCUUUGUCCCGCCUCAUAACAGGCCUUAGUGGUGGAACCCGCGAGCCCUGACACCUGUGUCCUCUCUGGCUAUAUGCAAUAAACCGUCCCAGUAUUUGUUAGCAGAAAGUCAUUUUUUUUAAUUUAUUCAUGAGAGACACAGAGAGAGGCAGAGACACAGGCAGAGGGAGAAGCAGGCUCCCCACGGGGAGCCUGAUGUGGGACUCGAUCCCAGGACCCCAGGAUCACAACCUGAGCCAAAGGCAGAUGCUCAACCACUGAGCCACCCGGAUGCCCCUGUAAUGGUCUUAAAGGAGAAAAGGAAUGGGGCAGGUACGUUGUUAAGAGAGAACAGUUAGAGAAGAGGCGACCAGAACGUGCCAUGAGACCAGAGUUGGGCAAUAGAAACAAAAGAGACAAGAGAACUUGACACAAUGAAUAACUUCAAAACGUAGGGCUUUACCUAUUUCUCACCUAAUCACACCUGAUCACGCCCUCCACCUUGUAUUUCCUUAGGUUUGCCUUUCAGUGGAAGUAAUGUUUGCCUCGGCGGACGUUACAAAAUACCUGCACCCACUCCAUUCCUCCUUCUGUUCUGUUAAGAACACUGUUUUGUUUGGGGUGGCAAUAUGUCCAGCUGAAAUACUCAUUUCUCCAGCCUGCAGGACAUCUAAUGAGAGAGGCUGCAGUCAGCUGGCAAACAACUUGCCCAGCCUCCUGCUGAAACAUCUGCUGAGGCUCCGCAGAUUGUGGUGUGUCCUCCCUCCCCGCAACCCACGGCCCGCCCCCACCCCCCCAUCCUCAGGCUGCUCAUUAACUCAUUAGAAGCUGCCUUAAUAGCCAUUGUGGGGAGGUUUUACUGUCUGCUGACCUUAGCUCAAAGCACCUGCUUCAGUGUCACCUGGAGACCUUGGCAAAUGGGUCCUCCCACAUCCAUACCCUGGCAUCACACACUGCUUUUCCUCCAUAGCGUUUAUGACAGCGUCAGGAAUCAGAACAUUUCUUGUGUAAAUCAUUGUGCAAUGCCUGCCUCCCACUCUGGAUAAGAAGCUCCCUGAGGGCAGAUUGUGCUGGGGUUUGUUCACGUUCAUUUGCCCCAUGCUUAGCUCAGAGUGUGACACUUCAUAGUAUUUACUGGAUGCUGAAUGCAUGGCUGCAUGAGUGACUGAAUGCACCGGUUUGAUGGAGAGCCACCCAGACAAACAGAGACAUUCCUCUUGAUUUUCAAAUUGUCCAUGUGAGAUUAAAGAAGGAUUUUCCCCCAACUGGGACUGACACUGUAGGUCUAGGUGUCAGGAUAUGUGUGCAAAUGCAUACAUGUGUAUACAACAGACAGCAAGUCUCUCCUGUUCUAAUCUAACAUACUCAGGGACUUCAGAGGAGGAGACUGGCCAGUUUCUGGUCCUGUGGGGCUACAUGUUAUUAGGGGAAAAAAGGGGAAAAAAGCAUUGACCAGAUAGGUUGAAGAUUUAGAGUCUGGUGCACACUCAGCCCCUCUUGGUGACCUGGGUGAUUGUGAGCUCACCACUUCUUCAUCUGCACAACACUGGCACCCGUAGCGAUCUUUGUAGCACCGCACUAGCACUAAGGUUGUCCACGUGGGGAAUGUGUCUCACCGACACAGAGCCAGGGUGCCAGCAGGCUGCCUUCUCAGCCCACAAAUGACAUAAAUAUCCCCGCCUAAACCAAACUCUUCCUUAGAUUUACAACUUUCAGACCUGAUGUUGCACAAUCAUUGUUGCCUUUUAUGACUUUGCUUCCCGGGUUUCUGUCUCUUGCGUAGUCUCCUUGUAGUGGCUUUAAAUUAUUGACACCUAACCGCAUGCCAGGCACUGUUCCAAGCACUUGACACAUAUCAGCUCAUUUCAACAAGGAUAAACUGCAGUCGCCCUAGGGUUUGCACACGUCAUGUGCUCAUAGUAACAGGCUGACCUGUGGCAUGUCAACUUCAUGUUUCUUGGGCCGAUGGCUAUGGCGUGGUGGCUGGAUUUUACAUUAAGGCAGCAUGGAAAGGUAACUUAAGUAUCUGAAUACUUAGGUGGGAGUGGAAGACAAAUGGGAGGGUCAGUGCCCUACAGUAAGUCACAAUGUGUCAGGCAAUUAGCCUGCAAGGAGUGUUUGACAACACUAUAUAAGAGAGAAUAUAUAAAGUGCUAAAUCCCUUGGCAUACUUUCUAAAUCCUCCAAGAGGUCAGGGAAGGGAGCGUCAACUGGCAGCCUGUGUAGCCCACGUGCUCCAUGCUUAUCUCCGGGUCCCCCUGGCAUCCUUCCUUUCUGGCCGGGCCUGUUACACAGCAAGAGCACACAAGCCAGGUGCCCUGUCCGCCAGAAGGUGAUUCUGGAAGCCCACUUUCCCGCAGCACACCUCUCCUCCCUGCAACACACCUCACUCUCGCUUCUUUGCUACUUAAAAUUUUAAACAGUCACCUUGACCCAAGAUAUUCAGAUGCCAUUUUUCUGAUGAUAAAAGUUUACACAGGUUCAUUCUAAAGGUUUGGAAAGCAUAGAAAAGUCUAAAGAAGAAGCAGGAAAACAAACAAACAAAUAAACCCAAACACAUUCAACUCUCA
rnacentral:lncRNA from 12 species